rnacentral:misc_RNA from 1 species
GCCAUUACACCCCAGCCAGCUCUCUUGGACAUCUUCACAGCUUCAAUGCUCUCAGUCACAGACCCAAUCUGAUUAACCUUGAGAAGGAGAGCAUUGCAAGCUUUCUCUUUGAUAGCCUUCUCAACCCUCUUAGGAUUGGUGACUAAGAGAUCAUCUCCUACAAUUUGUACUUCCUCUCCAAUUUCACUAGUUAGCUUUGCAUAGUG